rnacentral:ncRNA from 3 species
AAAGCAAUUGGUAAUGGAGUUUACCAUCCAAUCUUUUGGAAAACCCUUCUUCUUUAAGAAGUGAUAACUCCUACGACAAC